AUGGGAUUUAGUCCAGACCCUCCACUGGCUCAAGACCCAGUGGCUCUCUGCUCCUCAACGCCCCACAUGGAGCGCCCAAUCCAGGAAAACAGACCCGUCGCACUGCCGCUCCCCAUCUCCCUGCGUCGUCCGGAGAUGGUCCGGCUGGGCGCCACCCCGGCGACCGAGUGUGUGCUGUCCAUGGAAGCCAGCUCCUCCACCCAUACCCUUCUCUACAAGGACGGCGAGGACACUGCUUCAUCAGAACUGAUCCAAACGACCACGCGCAAUCCAAGUGGAAGAAAACCAGAUGAUCGAGAAAGAAGAAUUGCUACACCGGAACCUGGGCCAUGCAUGCGGUGA
rnacentral:rRNA from 1 species